rnacentral:ncRNA from 1 species
AGGGUAGCUCCCUAUUCUUGGUGAAGGUAAGCCGAGAGUACAUACAUAUUAUGUUUCGUAUGUAUUGUAAUGCCACAUAUUGUAGUUAAUGCACUAUCUAUGGUAUGGAUGGGACACUAACGAUUACAACGUUAGCGCAAAAACUGAAUUUCCAAACAUGGCCCGAGAGCAACGGAAAUUAGCAGUUAGAUUUAAACAAAUGGAAACACACAAUUGUUUGAAUCCUAUAUUAAAUCCUGGUGUUUCAGGUGUACAGAGGUGCAAAUCUGUACUAUAUUUACUAUGGGUUGAAAUUCCCUGGGGUA